rnacentral:sRNA from 1 species
AGGAGAAUUGAGCCUGGGAGGCGGGUCCGGAGAGGGCUAUGGAAAGCCGCCGGCGGGGAAUCCCGGCCGUAGAGGGACAGUGGAUAGGUGCCCGAGGCCUACAGCUGGCCUGGGGCUCGUGUCUGGGCUUCGGACGUUGGGGCCCGGUGGCCCACCCUUUCCGUAGUUGUCCCAAAUGGAGCUGGAAUUGGAUGCUGGUGACCAAGACCUGCUGGCCUUCCUGCUAGAGGAAAGUGGAGAUUUGGGGACGGCACCCGAUGAGGCCGUGAGGGCCCCACUGGACUGGGAGCUGCCGCUUUCUGAGGUACCGAGCGACUGGGAAGUAGAUGAUUUGCUGUGCUCCCUGCUGAGUCCCCCAGCGUCGUUGAACAUUCUCAGCUCCUCCAACCCCUGCCUUGUCCACCAUGACCACACCUACUCCCUCCCACGGGAAACUGUCUCUAUGGAUCUAGGUGAGUCUGAAAUAAGUUUGCGGGGAGGACAGGGUUCAUGGGCCUGGCUAUUCAUACUUUCCCUUUUGCAGAGAGUGAGAGCUGUAGAAAAGAGGGGACCCAGAUGACUCCACAGCAUAUGGAGGAGCUGGCAGAGCAGGAGAUUGCUAGGCUAGUACUGACAGAUGAGGAGAAGAGUCUAUUGGAGAAGGAGGGGCUUAUUCUGCCUGAGACACUUCCUCUCACUAAGACAGAGGAACAAAUUCUGAAACGUGUGCGGAGGAAGAUUCGAAAUAAAAGAUCUGCUCAAGAGAGCCGCAGGAAAAAGAAGGUGUAUGUUGGGGGUUUAGAGAGCAGGGUCUUGAAAUACACAGCCCAGAAUAUGGAGCUUCAGAACAAAGUACAGCUUCUGGAGGAACAGAAUUUGUCCCUUCUAGAUCAACUGAGGAAACUCCAGGCCAUGGUGAUUGAGAUAUCAAACAAAACCAGCAGCAGCAGCACCUGCAUCUUGGUCCUACUAGUCUCCUUCUGCCUCCUCCUUGUACCUGCUAUGUACUCCUCUGACACAAGGGGGAGCCUGCCAGCUGAGCAUGGAGGUAAGAGGCUUAAGGAUAGCUCUCAGACAGGGCAAGGGGAGAGGUCUGGGUUGGCCUCUGAAGAUUCUUUGUCUCCUCAGUGUUGUCCCGCCAGCUUCGUGCCCUCCCCAGUGAGGACCCUUACCAGCUGGAGCUGCCUGCCCUGCAGUCAGAAGUGCCGAAAGACAGCACACACCAGUGGUUGGACGGCUCAGACUGUGUACUCCAGGCCCCUGGCAACACUUCCUGCCUGCUGCAUUACAUGCCUCAGGCUCCCAGUGCAGAGCCUCCCCUGGAGUGGCCAUUCCCUGACCUCUUCUCAGAGCCUCUCUGCCGAGGUCCCAUCCUCCCCCUGCAGGCAAAUCUCACAAGGAAGGGAGGAUGGCUUCCUACUGGUAGCCCCUGUGUCAUUUUGCAGGACAGAUACUCAGGCUAGAUAUGAGGAUAUGUGGGGGGUCUCAGCAGGAGCUUGGGGGGCUCCCCAUCUGUGUCCAAAUAAAAAGCGGUGGGCAAGGGCUGGCCGCAGCUCCUGUGCCCUGUCAGGACGACUGAGGGCUCAAACAUACCACA